rnacentral:tRNA from 3 species
GCGGGUGUGGCGGAACUGGCAGACGCGCUGGACUUAGGAUCCAGUGGGCAACCGUGGGGGUUCAAGUCCCUCCACCCGCACCA